AACGAACGCUGGCGGCAUGCCUAACACAUGCAAGUCGAACGAGACCUUCGGGUCUAGUGGCGCACGGGUGCGUAACGCGUGGGAACCUGCCCUUAGGUUCGGAAUAACUCCCCGAAAGGGGUGCUAAUACCGGAUAAUGUCUUCGGACCAAAGAUUUAUCGCCUUUGGAUGGGCCCGCGUUGGAUUAGCUAGUUGGUAGGGUAAAAGCCUACCAAGGCGACAAUCCAUAGCUGGUCUGAGAGGAUGAUCAGCCACACUGGGACUGAGACACGGCCCAGACUCCUACGGGAGGCAGCAGUGGGGAAUAUUGGAAAAUGGGCGAAAGCCUGAUCCAGCAAUGCCGGGUGAGUGAUGAAGGCCUUAGGGUUGUAAAGCGCUUUUACCCGGGAUGAUAAUGACAGUACCGGGAGAAUAAGCUCCGGCUAACUCCGUG
rnacentral:rRNA from 1 species